rnacentral:rRNA from 1 species
CGAGCGUUACCCGGAUUUACUGGGCGUAAAGCGCGUGUAGGCGGUCUUUCAAGUCCGAUGCUAAAGACUGGGGCUCAACCCCAGGGGUGCGUUGGAUACUGUGAGGCUAGACGGUCGGAGGGGGUAGCGGAAUUUCCGGAGUAGCGGUGAAAUGCGCAGAUACCGGAAGGAACGCCAAUAGCGAAGGCAGCUACCUGGACGACUCGUGACGCUGAGGCGCGAAAGCGUGGGGAGCAAACCGGAUUAGAUACCCGGGUAGUCCACGCCCUAAACCAUGAGUGCUGGGUGUCCGGCUUCUGCUGGGUGCCGUAGCUAACGCGCUAAGCACUCCGCCUGGGAAGUACGCACGCAAGUGUGAAACUCAAAGGAAUUGACGGGGGCCCGCACAAGCGGUGGAGCAUGUGGUUUAAUUCGAAGCGACGCGAAGAACCUUACCAGGCCUUGACAUGCCCGGAACCCCUCUGAAAGGAGGGGGUGCCCGCAAGGGAGCCGGGACACAGGUGCUGCAUGGCCGUCGUCAGCUCGUGUCGUGAGAUGUUGGGUUAAGUCCCGCAACGAGCGCAACCCCUAUCCCUAGUUGCCAGCAGUUUGGCUGGGCACUCUAUGGAGACUGCCUGCGAAAGCAGGAGGAAGGCGGGGAUGACGUCUGGUCCGCAUGGCCCUUACGGCCUGGGCGACACACGUGCUACAAUGCCAAGGACAGAGCGCUGCUACCUCGCGAGAGGACGCCAAUCGCAAAAACCUUGGCUCAGUUCGGAUUGGAGUCUGCAACUCGACUCCAUGAAGCCGGAAUCGCUAGU